rnacentral:lncRNA from 1 species
UGAGGCUGGACUUGAACUUGGGAAAAUGAGUCUUCCUGACUCUGUGAAUUUUAGAUUUACUCCACCCUGCUUAGUCUAGCAAUCAGGAAUGUAUACACCCCUACUUAAGGAUUAAGUGUUGAGAAGGAUGGCCUAUGACAGGCAUAUGCUAGCAAAGUGACAAAUAAGAAACAACUGACAGACCUUCUGGGAUGCCCUAAGUCAAGCUUAAGUUUGACUUAAGCUAAGGACAAGUUAAGCUACUUGUCCAAGGUCACUCAGCUACUACGUGUCCAAAGCUGGAUUUGAAUUUAGGUCUUCCUGAUUCUAGUCUGGAGUUCUAUAUCCUGUGCCACCAAUGAGAGAAACAGCAAGAUAUAGUAUAUUAAGACUGUUGUACCUGGAGUUUUGAGAGAGCUGGGUUCAAAUCCCUCUGUUGAUACUGGUGUAAUCACAGGCCAGCCAAUUCUCUGAGCUUCAGUGUCUUCAUCUAUGUUAUGGGGAUAACUAUUCCUGGAAAACCUACUGUAAAGAGUUGUUGUGAGGGUCAUGUGAAAUAAUGUAUACAAAUAGCAAACUUUGACAGUCUAAAUUAAGGUCAGCAAUUAUUUUUGUUCUUUGGAAUGCCUUCCCUCUCAUCUCCUGUGCCUUAAUGAUAUAACAGCCUGCAUUUAUAUUGUACCUUAAAGCUGACAAAUCACUUUCCUAGCUUUGGAUCUUUGAGUUAUGCUAGCAAAUGUAAUUAUUUCCUAAAUGUAAUUUUUUUCUCAAUGAAAUGAGAAGAUAGAAUGAUGAACUUCAGGUCAUGUUGUAGGAAAUUGUAGUGGUAGAAUUUGAACUCUCAUCUUGCAGAUUUUUUGUUAUUCAGACUCUUUCCAGGACACUGAGAUCUCAAGGUCCAGCCUCAUGUCUUAAUUCCAGUAAACCUUCUUUCAGCUAGUUAGUCAAAUAACCAGCCAACCAACCAAGAAGCAUUUAUUAAGCACUGUUUAUUAAGUCACUGUUCCAGGAACUGAGGAUAUAGACAAAACUUAAGCAGCCUCUGUGUUCCUCCUGGAGCUGGGACUGGAGGAGACAACAGAAUAAAGGUAAAGAAAGAGGAGCCUAGGUGGAAAGAGACCUGGACUAGAAAUCCAAAGAAGCAAUUUUGCUACUAAAUUGCAGUGUGACCUUAGAAUCUCCUCCUGACUGGGAUUAAGAACCAGGGAAUGUGAAGAAAGAACCCAUGCUCUUGAGUGUUCUGUGGGUCCC